rnacentral:rRNA from 1 species
AGAUUGAACGCUGGCGGCAUGCUUUACACAUGCAAGUCGAACGGUAACAGGCCGCAAGGUGCUGACGAGUGGCGAACGGGUGAGUAAUGCAUCGGAACGUGCCCAGUCGUGGGGGAUAACGCAGCGAAAGCUGUGCUAAUACCGCAUACGAUCUAUGGAUGAAAGCGGGGGACCGAAAGGCCUCGCGCGAUUGGAGCGGCCGAUGUCAGAUUAGCUAGUUGGUGGGGUAAGGCCACCAAGGCGACGAUCUGUAGCUGGUCUGAGAGGACGACCAGCCACACUGGAACUGAGACACGGUCCAGUACACCUACGGGAGCAGCAGGUAGGGAAUUUUGGACAAGUGGGCGCGAAGCC